rnacentral:rRNA from 1 species
AGGAGGAGCAAAUCCCUAAAAGCCAUCCCAGUUCGGAUCGCAGGCUGCAACCCGCCUGCGUGAAGUUGGAAUCGCUAGUAAUCGCGGAUCAGCAUGCCGCGGUGAAUACGUUCCCGGGCCUUGUACACACCGCCCGUCACACCAUGAGAGUCGGGAACACCCGAAGUCCGUAGCCUAACCGCAAGGGGGGCGCGGCCGAAGGUGGGUUCGAUAAUUGGGGUGAAGUCGUAACAAGGUAAC